GCCAAAGUGGCUCAGUGGUUAAGAGCACUGGCUACUGCACCAGAGGACCCGGGUUCAAUUCCCCGCAUGCA
rnacentral:tRNA from 1 species